CUGAAAUCAGGCGGGACUACCCGCUGAACUUAAGCAUAUCAAUAAGCGGAGGAAAAGAAAAUAACAAUGAUUCCCCUAGUAACGGCGAGUGAAGAGGGAAAAGCUCAAGUUUGGAAGCUUCGUGGCAUAGCUACGACGCGUUGUAAACUGAAGUUUUUUGGGUGAUUGGGCGACCGGAUAAAUAAGUCCUUUGGAAAGGGGCAACAUAGAGGGUGA
rnacentral:rRNA from 1 species